AGUGGCGGACGGGUGAGUAACGCGUGGGUAACCUGCCUCACACUGGGGGACAACAGUUAGAAAUGACUGCUAAUACCGCAUAAGCGCACAGGACCGCAUGGUCCGGUGUGAAAAACUCCGGUGGUGUGAGAUGGACCCGCGUUUGAUUAGGUAGUUGGUGGGGUAACGGCCUACCAAGCCGACGAUCAGUAGCCGACCUGAGAGGGUGACCGGCCACAUUGGGACUGAGACACGGCCCAA
rnacentral:rRNA from 1 species